rnacentral:rRNA from 1 species
GAUGAACGCUGGCGGCGUGCCUAAUACAUGCAAGUCGAACGAAACUUCUUUAUCACCGAGUGCUUGCACUCACCGAUAAAGAGUUGAGUGGCGAACGGGUGAGUAACACGUGGGCAACCUGCCCAAAAGAGGGGGAUAACACUUGGAAACAGGUGCUAAUACCGCAUAACCAUAGUUACCGCAUGGUAACUAUGUAAAAGGUGGCUAUACUACCGCUUUUGGAUGGGCCCGCGGCGCAUUAGCUAGUUGGUAGGGUAAAGGCUUACCAAGGCAAUGAUGCGUUGCCGAAUUGAGAGGUUGAUCGGCCACAUUGGGACUGAGACACGGCCCAAACUCCUACGGGAGGCAGCAGUAGGGAAUCUUCCACAAUGGGCGAAAGCCUGAUGGAGCAACGCCGCGUGGGUGAAGAAGGUCUUCGGAUCGUAAAACCCUGUUGUUAGAGAAGAAAGUGCGUGAGAGUAACUGUUCACGUUUCGACGGUAUCUAACCAGAAAGCCACGGCUAACUACGUG